AUUGAACGCUGGCGGCAUGCUUUACACAUGCAAGUCGAACGGCAGCACGGGAGCUUGCUCCUGGUGGCGAGUGGCGAACGGGUGAGUAAUGCAUCGGAACGUACCCAGUAGUGGGGGAUAACUACUCGAAAGAGUGGCUAAUACCGCAUACAACCUGAGGGUAAAAGUGGGGGACCGCAAGGCCUCACGCUAUAGGAGCGGCCGAUGGAAGAUUAGGUAGUUGGUAGGGUAAAGGCCUACCAAGCCGACGAUCUUUAGCGGGUCUGAGAGGACGAUCCGCCACACUGGGACUGAGACACGGCCCAGACUCCUACGGGAGGCAGCAGUGGGGAAUUUUGGACAAUGGGGGCAACCCUGAUCCAGCAAUGCCGCGUGAGUGAAGAAGGCCUUCGG
rnacentral:rRNA from 1 species